GUAUCACUACAAAAAAAAAACUCCAACGGCUACGGCAGUCUGCAACGGCAUGGAUUUGCCGACGCCAAUAGUCCCAUUUUAGCGACUGCAAUUGUCGGCGUCGCACUAACAGGAAUGGGAUGCGACGGCAUGGCGUGUCCGUGGCAUGUUUUUAAUAUCAAGAGCGACGGAGAAUCAAACGCGGUGGCUAAUAAAACUUGAAAUGCGUUUUGAAAAAAUAGAAAACCAUUUGCUUCGGGAAAAGAAGCAAAACAGAUCUCUCCCCCUCAGAUUUACUUUCUAUCCUUCUCUUCAUCUCGUCGACAAAUAACCGAUUAUGUGGAGAAUCUCUCAUCACCUCCUUGACGAUUAAUGUAGCUUCUCUCGGAACAAUGCUCCCUCACUUUCAGAAAUGAACUUGGGAGUACUGGGACUAGUUGUUCUACAAUGAUUAGCUCAAAGAAGCAGAGAUUAUCAGGGCAGAAAUGGUCAUACAAGGUCUAUGAAGUUUUCUCCGAGUUAGUUGUGUACUAGAGGAAUGCCACAACUCAGUUUGUUUCUUUUUAUAGGUUGGGCUAAAAGGAGAAGCCAUGAAUCUCUGUUCUCCAACUUCCACCUCUAUCUGCAGUGAAUUGGAGGAGGGUGUUUAUAGGGACACAAAAUCAACAGCCACUGACUUGGUAUAAGUGAUACUUGAACCCUCAUGCCAAUUCUGAUGCACCUGAAGGAGAUGAGCCUUUGGCUUUGGACAUGGGGAGCAUGCAUGGGGAAGGGUCAAGUAUGAUUCAAUGGGGAGAGCAUUGGAAGAUACUGGACUAUUCAUGCUAAUGGUAAUUGGUAUAGCUAAUCCACUUGGACAUGGGAAUCGUUACAAACUGAAUCUAUUAGCUUGCAAUCCACCAGUUCAAUAUAUUGCAAGGAAGGGGUUUUGAUUCUAAGGCCGGAGACUGAGCUCAUUGUUGAUUUGAUGGGUGAUGUGGUGAAGGAUGAGGAGGGUUUUAGAGAGGGUUUGUGGGAGACUGGGAGUGGGGCUAUUGCUAUUUGGAUUGGGAGGUUUUUGGGGACUGGUGUCAGAGUCAUUGCAACUGAUUUGAGUCUCACUGCGAUUUCGGUUGCGGGUUUUAAUGUGGAGAGGGAGGUAUGGUUUACAGUGAGAUUAUGCACGCGGCACUACAAAAAAGAAUUGCAAUGGCUACACAUAGUUAGCAUCGGCCAAGGGAACAUGGAUGUUGUAGUAAUUAUAGCGCUGCAGAAUUAGUUCAAUAUCCGGGAAUUAUAUCUUUGGUCCACUGCCCGUUGACAUCAUAAAGAGCUGGACUAAUAUCGAAACUUUGCUGUCAAAACAAUUUCGUCAAGUCCGUCUAUUACUUUCUGUUUUGAUAUUCAUGGAGAUAUGCACAAGAGUACUCGCAGCAGCCCCCUAUUCAGGAACUAAUUGGAAGGGAUCUUCAUGAUAUAUAAUGAAUGGAAAUUCAGACAUAUUUCGAGGAGGCUUGCAACAACACUAGAGUAAUUGGUACAUGAAGUAGAUCGAGGAAGAUCCCUGCAAAGUUCAUCUUGAAGUAGCUAGAGGAAAAUAACUAACUUGUAAAGCUUAAUUAUCGAUCUUGUAAAUUUUGGUAGAAGCUUCAUUCAUUUUGUAACAUUUAUGAGGAAAAUUAAAGUGUAACAUUUCCUUUUAUAUAAGCUUCAUUCCUUUUUGUAUA